rnacentral:rRNA from 1 species
GUUCCCGGUGUGCGCGCGUGGAGCGCCCUGGUGCAGGGAUCGGGCCGGCCACUGACCACACCCUUACUUUACGAGCACCUUUCGUUCUCCUUCGGCGGGGCAACCCGCCGCUGGAACCUCAUCAAACCUUUGCAUCUAGCAUUACCUGUUCUGAUAAAAAUAAUCGUAACAACUUUCAACAAUGGAUCUCUUGGCUCUGGCAUCGAUGAAGAACGCAGCGAAAUGCGAUAAGUAGUGUGAAUUGCAGAAUUCAGUGAAUCAUCGAAUCUUUGAACGCACAUUGCGCCCCUUGGUAUUCCAUGGGGCAUGCCUGUUUCGAGCGUCAUCUACACCCUCAAGCUCUGCUUGGUGUUGGGGCGUCUGUCCCGCCUCUGCGCGCGGACUCGCCCCAAAGGCAUUGGCAGCGGUCCACGGCCCCUCUCGCGCAGCACAUUGCGCUUCUCGAGGCGGCCCGGCCCCGCAUCCACGAAGCCCCACAUUACCGUCUUUGACCUCGGAUCAGGUAGGGGAUACCCGCUGAACUUAAGCAUAUCAUAGAGGGGGAGAGAAUUG